GGGGUUGACUGGUUUCGACAGGGGUUUUGCAGUCAUGGAAGCCAUCCGUGGACUAGGACCACGUUAAAACUUAGAUUAAAUAUAAACGCUAACGAUAAUUUAGCUUACGCUGCCUAAUUAAAGGCAACUGCCAGCUUUAAGGUCCCCCGUACCUUUCAGAUCUGGUAUCAUCCAACGGGAAACUCCGGUGCUUAAGCUUUGCGGUAUCGGAAAAUUCAUGAAGCUACUGAUAUAUCCAGCCUGUCCGUAGGCGUGGUACUGAGGAAAUGUUAAAAUACGGAAUGUGAUGGGAGAUGCCGUGAUGAAUGAGCUUUUGGACGUGGGUUCGAAUCCCACCAGCUCCAUAG
rfam:Clostridium sp. CAG:264 genomic scaffold, scf26